rnacentral:rRNA from 1 species
CGAAAGCGUGGGGAGCGAACAGGAUUAGAUACCCUGGUAGUCCACGCCGUAAACGAUGAGUACUAAAGGUCGGCAGGGGAACCUGUCAGUCUUGAAGUUAACACGAUAAGUACUCCGCCUGGGAAGUACGGCCGCAAGGUUGAAACUCAAAUGAAUUGACGGGGGCCCGCACAAGCGGUGGAGCAUGUGGUUUAAUUCGAUGCAACGCGAAGAACCUUACCUACCCUUGACAUCCUGCGAAUUCCGAUGAAAGUUGGAAGUGCCGAAAGGAGCGCAGAGACAGGUGCUGCAUGGCUGUCGUCGGCUCGUGUUGUGAGAUGUUGGGUUAAGUCCCGUAACGAGCGCAACCCUUGUCCUUAGUUGCCAGCAUUAAGUUGGGGACUCUAAGGAGACUGCCGGUGAGGAACCGGAGGAAGGCGGGGACGACGUCAAGUCAUCAUGGCCUUUAUGGGUAGGGCUACACACGUGCUACAAUGGGGCGUACAGAGAGUCGCGAAACCGCGAGGUGGAGCCAAUCUCCUAAAGCGUCUCGUAGUCCGGAUUGGAGUCUGCAACUCGACUCCAUGAAGUUGGAAUCGCUAGUAAUCGCGAAUCAGCAUUGUCGCGGUGAAUACGUUCCCGGGCCUUGUACACACCGCCCGUCACGUCAUGGGAGUGGAUGGUACCAGAAGCGGGUAGUUUAACUGCAAAGAGAACGCCUGCCACGGUAUGAUUCAUGACUGGGACGAAGUCGUAACAAGGUAGCCGUA